rnacentral:rRNA from 1 species
AGAGUUUGAUCCUGGCUCAGGACGAACGCUGGCGGCGUGCCUAAUACAUGCAAGUCGAGCGAACCAAUGGGAGCUUGCUCCCUGAGGUUAGCGGCGGACGGGUGAGUAACACGUGGGUAACCUGCCUGUAAGAUUGGGAUAACUCCGGGAAACCGGAGCUAAUACCGGAUAACAUUUCGAACCGCAUGGUUCGAAGUUGAAAGAUGGUUUCGGCUAUCACUUACAGAUGGACCCGCGGCGCAUUAGCUAGUUGGUGAGGUAACGGCUCACCAAGGCGACGAUGCGUAGCCGACCUGAGAGGGUGAUCGGCCACACUGGGACUGAGACACGGCCCAGACUCCUACGGGAGGCAGCAGUAGGGAAUCUUCCGCAAUGGACGAAAGUCUGACGGAGCAACGCCGCGUGAACGAUGAAGGUGUUCGGGUCGUAAAGUUCUGUUGUUAGGGAAGAACAAGUACCAGAGUAACUGCUGGUACCUUGACGGUACCUAACCAGAAAGCCACGGCUAACUACGUGCCAGCAGCCGCGGUAAUACGUAGGUGGCAAGCGUUGUCCGGAAUUAUUGGGCGUAAAGCGCGCGCAGGCGGUUUCUUAAGUCUGAUGUGAAAGCCCACGGCUCAACCGUGGAGGGUCAUUGGAAACUGGGGAACUUGAGUGCAGAAGAGGAGAGUGGAAUUCCACGUGUAGCGGUGAAAUGCGUAGAGAUGUGGAGGAACACCAGUGGCGAAGGCGACUCUCUGGUCUGU